UUCUACAGAUUUGGGCAUCGGAUGUGCUGUUCUACGAGUCGUUUGAUGAACCUUUUGAUGGUCGAUGGAUCGUCUCAAGGAAGGGGGACUAUGGAGAACGAGUGAAUGAACUAGUAAAAGCUCGAAAAAUCCACGUCAUCAGAGAAAUGAAGAUCCAGAGAAAUAUAAUGACGACAAGCAAAGAUCGACAAGAUCCAACGACAGCAACCGUGAGAGUAAACCUGCUGAAAGAGCUGCGAGAAAUCCUACAUCAGACAGGAGGUUGGCAUCGGAAGGUACUCCUGGAAGAAUUAGAUCAAAGGCCAAUACAACAGAAAGAUAUUCUUUAGAACUUUAUUAUGCAGUUGCAUGUUUGAUCGAGUUGAUUUCAGUUGUUGC